rnacentral:rRNA from 2 species
CCUACGGGAGGCAGCAGUGGGGAAUAUUGGACAAUGGGGGCAACCCUGAUCCAGCAAUGCCGCGUGAGUGAUGAAGGCCUUCGGGUUGUAAAGCUCUUUCGGCGGGGAAGAUGAUGACGGUACCCGCAGAAGAAGCCCCGGCUAACUUCGUGCCAGCAGCCGCGGUAAU